rnacentral:rRNA from 1 species
AGAGUUUGAUCCUGGCUCAGAUUGAACGCUGGCGGUAUGCUUAACACAUGCAAGUCGCACGGUAACAGGCCGCUGGGAUCCCUUCGGGGUGGCCUUGGCGCUGACGAGUGGCGGACGGGUGAGUAACGCGUAGGAAUUUACCCAAUAGCGGGGGACAACCCGGGGAAACUCGGGCUAAUACCGCAUAUGCCUUACGAGGUAAAGAGGGCCUCUUCUUGAAAGCUCUCACUAUUGGAUGAGCCUGCGUCGGAUUAGCUAGUUGGUAGGGUAACGGCCUACCAAGGCGACGAUCCGUAGCUGGUCUGAGAGGAUGAUCAGCCACACUGGGACUGAGACACGGCCCAGACUCCUACGGGAGGCAGCAGUGGGGAAUAUUGGACAAUGGGCGCAAGCCUGAUCCAGCAAUACCGCGUGUGUGAAGAAGGCCUUAGGGUUGUAAAGCACUUUCAAUUGGGAAGAAAAGUUCAGGGUUAAUAUCCCUGGACCUUGACGGUACCUUUAGAAGAAGCACCGGCUAACUCCGUGCCAGCAGCCGCGGUAAUACGGAGGGUGCGAGCGUUAAUCGGAAUUACUGGGCGUAAAGCGCGCGUAGGCGGUUGUAAGUCAGAUGUGAAGCCCCGGGCUUACCUGGGAUUGCAUUGAUACUGCGGACUAGAGUAUGGAGAGGGAGUGAAUUCACAUGUAGCGUGAAUGCGUAAUAUGUGAGGACACAUGGCGAAGCGCUUCUGACA